AUCUUUUGCUGUAGAUCCUUGCUUACCUAAGGCUUUCUGAAGGCAAGCUGUUAUCAUCCUAUUGUAGUAUUACAGCAGCUGAGGCUUUGUGGUUACCCUUCUUUGUCUUGGUUGUACCAAGGAGCUAAUAGUUUAUCUCUGCUGUUGAUACAUUUGGAACAAAACUAUCCACAAGAGUCAUUGGAGUAUGUUGCAGAUCCCCAGCAUCCAAGUGAAUUAACAAAGAAAAAUAGCUACAGGGUAGCAUCAUGGAUCAUAGAAGCACUGGGGUAUUACCUGGAGAAAAUCAGCCUAAUCUCAUCAGCCAUGCCAUUUCACCCACCUGAAGCUGUUCUACAUGAAGCACAAGUGUGCAUUUCCUUGAUUUGCUCAACAGUGGCUUGGCUCCCCAACUGGUUGUAAAUCCAGGUCUCUGCAGUGGAGCUAUUCUGAUUUACACCAGAGGAAAAUCUGGCCUCUCGCUGAGAAGAAAUGGGCUGCCAGUUUAAUUACUUCAUCCCAGUUACUCCAAGGAGGAAUAACCCUCUCAUCAUAUAUAAAAGAAAGGUUAAAAUCUAACAAACCCUUUUGGAAAUCUUGCCACAUUUCCUCCAGUCAAGAAGGAAUAGAAUUUUGCCAGGAAUUCACCAGCCAUCCAAGCCAGCUGAUAGCUCCAAUCAGUAACAGUAACACUGGAUGAUAAGGAUUUGCACUGUAGCAGCUAGAAGGCAUUUGGUUGCAAGCCAGCACCCCUACAGUUUUGCUCUGGUAGGAGCAGAACAGAAAGACAGUCAUUUUCCUAAAAGUCUUACUCAGUUAAGGCUUAAUGAAUGCGGCUCGCAGGCUUCCGUUCCUGAGAAAGGAAAGGUGAAAAGCACUUUGCAGAAUCAGAGUAAUCAUGAUUUGGGACUAUUUUUUUUUUUCCUAUUUAUCCUCUCCCAGUGUCUAUUACAGUAAGAGACCAUUUUCCUUAAAGCCUCCCUGAAGUCCAGAGGGAGUCAGGAAUGGUACUGAGUGAGUACUGAUGGGAGACACUGAAAACAAAGUUAGGGACUGGAGGGAUGUGAAGCACUCUGUUUUCAGGGCUGAGCCCAACCUGUCAACCAGGAGGAAGUUUUCUCACCUACCAGAUGCUGAUCCCUGCCAGCAAUGAGAUGGCAGACGGACAAUGAGUUUCUGGGGUUUUCAUAUUUCAGGGAAGGCUGAUGGCAGAGCUCACAUAGCUUAUCACCCAUCAUCUGCACUGCGUCCAGGGCUGCAACACAGAGCCAAGGUGCGUCCAGGCCCUGAGAUGUCUGAUCAGAGGGUGAAGGCAAUGGAGUGUGGGAAUAAAAGAAAGGAUGGUCAGGCCUUAUGGCAAUACUUGCCCUAGUGCAGAUUUUUCCAUGCAGAUAGAGGAAGGCUAUGCCUCAUCCAGACCCAUGCUUCAAAGAGUUUUCUUAAACCCUAGUGGAAAUGCUACAGCUGAGGGUGUCCCUUGUGUAAGAGAGGAUCCUAGAUGCUAUCACCGUGUCAGCCAAGCCAGGGUUCUGUAGGACUGCCUGGAAGAAGUAUUCUAAGACCUCAUGGUUUUAGUUUCCAUCAGUGGAACCAAGUUCUGCUGAAAAGGGUAUCUCCUGUGGGAAAGGAUUGCUUACUGAUGCUUUCAGAGAUAGAUAUAUGGAAUUAAAUCUAUC
rnacentral:lncRNA from 7 species